ACACUUCACAUUCAGGAUUCCAGCGCUAUAUCGCGUGGUGCCGGUUUCGACCGGCUAUGGCGAUAAAUUGCGCUGUGCAAUAGAUGCAACGGACCCGGGGGCAGUACCCGGCGGCUCCACCAUCUGGGCCGAUGCCACUGGGUCGACACGCGUGGACCGCGUGCCGACCGAGCGGCUCAGCUGAUGGGGCCGAACCAGGAUCGACGUGUGUUGAAAAGCAGUGUUUUCGCCCGGGCUGAGUAACCCGUUCAAGGCUCAAAACCCAUAAGUGCCAACGACAACGAAGCACUUGCUCUCGCUGCGUAAUGUGACGGCCUAACGGCCUGAAUUUACAACGCCAAGAGCACGGUUCGGACCGAACCGGGUAACAGAAUCGGAAACC
rnacentral:tmRNA from 1 species